GAAGUGAUGAGGAAGGAGUGGGUUUGGGGAGAGAGAAGGGAUGGGAGGUGAAGAGGGAGGAGAUGGAGAAGUGGGUCGCGAGGGGAGGUUCUGGGUUUGUGGGUUUGUUUUGUUUGGUUGGUUUUUAUUUUUUAUUUUUUAUUUUUUUUAAUAGGGUAAAUAAUAGGGUUUACAUGUUAAGGUACAAGAAAAAUUACUUUUGGACUAAAUUUGCUAACAAAGUACACCAUAUGGGUUUAAAUCUGAGUUUUUUUAGCACAUGAGCUAUCUUCCAAAUACCUUCUGACCAUAGGGAUCAUUUAUCCGAUUUGGCCAUUUUAAAAAUGUGGAUUGAUGAAAAUGCCCUAAGGGCAAGAUUAUUGACUUUCGUUGACCAAUGUAUAGUGAGACGUACAAAAUAUUCUUCUAGCAUAUUCUUGAAAUACUCAACAGUGCGAACGCGUAAACACAAGCAAAAUUAAAAUCGAAACUACGGCUAAAGUUUUACGGAGCUACAAAUCUGAAAGUAUUUUGAAUUUAUAUUACACUAUAUUACUAAAUGAUUAUUCCAUGUGUGUGUGGCUGAGUUGGGAAAAGAAACCAAUCAGGGAGGAGGAGAAAUAUAGGAGAAGGGCAGAGAAGGAGAGAGGGAGGUGAGGAACGAAUCAGGAAUGAGAGAAAAGGAGAAGGCCAAUGGGAAGGAAAAGAAAGGAGAGAAAGAGAGAGAUGCAGAGCACCCAAUUCGGACCCCUGCAACCCGUGACCCAGCCUUCGACCCGAACCUCCCCGAGCUUUUUUCAAAGCCAUCUCCGGUGUUUCUCUGACGAUUCACGGCGCGGGACCACUUGGAAACAACUUAGCAUCAAUCUCUCCUUCAUAUUCACCCAAAAAUCGAAGACUUUACUCCCAAUUUCGUGAGAACCGCACCGGUGGGUGCAAGGGAACUUUGAUGGCGAUCCACCAUUUUUGAAGCAUUUCUCUUCAAUUAUCACCACCAAAACACUCAUCAAGAGGUCAGGAACAAAGCCCAGUCAGUGGUUGGAGCAUCGGAGUUGAUUUGAGGACGAAUAAAAAACACCCAAAUUCUAGGGUUCCGUGGUUCACGGUGAUUUGAAGCUUUUCUCAGCCAAAUUGGACUUGGCCAUAGGGAUGAAACUUGCUCCACUCAUCGAGAUCUACAUUGAUGUAAAAUUUGCUAAUUUUUAGAAAUAGUAAAAUUUUCCGACGAGUCGGGGCGGCCGACUGCCGUGUGCGGCGGCAUGUGGGCCGAGGCACCUUUGACCUUCCUAGGAUAAAUUUGAUACCCCAAUUCUAUAUGUGAAGUUCGAUUGAUGAAAUCUCAUCGUUUGAACAUAGUUUUGAUAGAGACCGCCACUUGAUC
rnacentral:lncRNA from 1 species